UACAGAGGGUGCGAGCGUUGUUCGGAAUUACUGGGCGUAAAGCGCGCGUAGGUGGUGUGUUAAGUCUGCCGGUCAAAUGCCGAGGCUCAACCUCGUUGCACGCCGGGGAUACUGGCACGCUAGAGACAAGUAGAGGCAAGCGGAAUUCGGGUGUAGCGGUGGAAUGCGUAGAGAUCCGGAAGAACACCGGAGGCGAAGGCGGCUUGCUGGGCUUGGUCUGACGCUGAGGCGCGAAAGCGUGGGGAGCGAACAGG
rnacentral:rRNA from 1 species